rnacentral:sRNA from 1 species
UUUUUUUUUCCAAUUGCUUUUUACCUUAGAUUUUGACACAGGGUUUCUCCUUGAACUUGGAGUUCAUCAAUUCCACUAAUCUGGGUAGUCAAUGACCUCCAGGAUCCGUCUCUACCCUACCUGUCUCCAACUCUGAAAUUACAUUAUUAUGUCUGCCUUUUGAAAUUCAGGUUUUAAAUUAAGGAACCAAUGCUGGAGAGAUUGUGCAGCAGUUCAGAGCCCUUGUCGCUCUUCCAGAGAGCCUGGGUUUGAUUCCCAGAACCCACACAACAGUUCACAACUGCCUAUAACUCCAAUCCCAGGGAAUCUGAUGCCUUCCUUCUACGAGCCGCUGAAAGCAAUGGGCAUGCUUGUGGUACACAGACACACAUGCAGACAAAAAUGUAUACAUAGAUAAUAUUAUUUUAAAGUUAGUAAAAUUAAGAUACUCUAGAACCUAAUUAAAUUUCUGUUAAUAACAAGACAGACAUACACUAAAGCUUAUGGCAGUCACACAGAACCAUAACCUAGUCAAAAUGGAAAUAAAAGGCAGAAGGAGAAAUGGACUUCAGACUCAAUAAUACAUUUAAAAUGCUAAGAUCAUACAUAUUUGCUUUAUUCCUGACUCAAGUGAUAUUUCUCUAGUGAUAAAGUUUUUAUUCAUUUGUCUAGACAGUUCACACUCACCAAUUUUUAUUGCUUAGAUAUCUUAGUAAGAAUUUAUCAUUGCAAAAAAUAGUCAACAGGAAAGUGGAAAAACUGAGGAUAUAGAAAUAAGUCAAUUUUACAAGUUCUAAUUCCAGCUAACAAGAAACAGAGCUGAGCUCAGCCUUAAAAGAACUCCUCAACUUGUCCUUAUGACACACACAGUGCAACAUGAUGUUUCAGACAUUACAAGUCAAACUUAGAGGGGUUUCCCUUUGAUUCUGAGAAUGACUGCAGAAUCCUUCUAUUUCCAUAUUGUAGAGAGCCAGUACUGGUCUAUUUCAGCUCAUCUCCUGAAGCAAGUCUAUUUUCUCCUCCAAGGUCAACUUCUGCUUAGUACCCCUCCCCAUUUUAGCAGCUUCUAUGACAACAUUGUAUAGUUACCAUAACAACACUGCAUGAUUCUCAGUGCACAAUGUGUGGUUAGUGUUACUUUAUGAGGACUGCUUGGAAAGUUCCAGAAACAGAGUUCAUCAGAGACUUGGUACUUCACAAGCUACAGAGCAAUCUGUUUUGUAAAAAGUCCUAGAGUUCUCUGCCACCAAGCCAGUUGGGAAGCCACCAAUUCCCCUAAUUUUGACGGUCUUUUGCUUCCCAGAAAAAGCAAACUACAUUUUUUUCCAUGCCAAGAAUGAAGUAAAAGGCCUACUUCUACCUGAGGAAUUAGGUCUCAGAAAAUGUGCUUUUCCCUGCAUAGUGACUGUGUCAUAUGUGGGAGACCUGGGUCAUGACACAGUGCAGAUUUAGAGAUUCACACUGGCUUCCAAGUCUGAAAACCAAGAGCAGUUGCUUCACCCUUUUCUGAUCCUAAAUCUCCUCCCAUCCCCCUUCUAAUUCCAGGUCACAGAACAAGUAGGUCCUCUUUUUCUCAAGAACAAAACUUAAAGUCAUGGGAACAAGCCAAAAGCAUUGCUGGGAACAUUAAUCAGGAGACCAUGAAUGAACUGAGUCAGGGACAAGAAGCUACGGCAAUUACUUCUGCAGACUCUCAAAGGAAUUCACGUUCCGAGAGGCGAUAAAUACCAGAAGCCGAUGGCUAAUCCACUUGAUUGAAUGAGAAGAAAAGGAAGUCGUUUCCUGUCAAUGCUUCUUUGGAUUCUUGCACAGUUUAAGAAGCACCAUUGAUCUGAUCAUCAGCACUGAAGAGGAAAUGCCCAUUCACUGAAGACACGCAAUGCUCAUCCCAGUUUGACAUGGGCAGCAAGUGGUUCCUUUUGUAGCCCUUUCUGUAAACUGUCCCCUCACAUACAUGUAAACCCCUGCUUCCUUCUUUAAGUAGCUACAUUGGUGGUGCCUCUGUUGUAAGGUUAAAGGGAAGAAUAACUAGAGAGUGGUGGGGAAAGCACUGGGGAAGCUGAUUUGUUUCUGCCUUUGUGGUGAUCUCUCAAAAUAUUUUUGAGAUAUUUUUGUUGAAAAGAUGCAAGCAAUUAUUUUUUUUUAGGAUUGAGGACUUAAAAUUCAUUGUUACUCGGGCUCAUUGGCACAUCAAUCUAAGCAGUUCGAGGUAAUGCUGUUGUGAUUGAGAAACACCACCACUGUAAAGCUUUAGCAGGGAGUCAAGCAGGUUAUGACGACACAGGGCUCAUUACUAAAUGUGAAGUUUUAAGGGAUAAAACUUUACAAUGAAACAAGAAAAAUCUCAAGAAAAAGAUUGGGCUCUAGUAAAAAUAAGCCAUGUCUUAAAAGUGGUUUUCCAUAUUCAACAUUAUUACCCUUCACAUUAAUGCUCAAGCUGGUUCAUAGUCCUCAGAAGUAAGAAUGGACAUUUAUACUUUGUGUAAUAGUAAUAUGUUGCACACACAAGUAAACACUUUUGGUGAUCAACAAAGCUUAUUUUUCUCUUUCAAUUUUAAAAAAGAUUAUUUGUAUUCUGUGUGCAUUGGUAUUUUCCUGAAUGUGUGUGUGUGUGAAGGUGCCAGAUCCCCUGGGACAGGAGCUAUGGACAGUUGAGAGUUGUCACUGGGGGCUGGGAGUUGAAACUGGUUCCUCCGGAAGAGCAGCCAAGUAUUCUUAACCACAGAGCCAUCUCUCUAGCCCCAAUUUUCUCUUUCUUAAUAGCACCAUGUAUGUUUACUUAAAAACUAAAGAUGUUUUUUAAACAAGUAAAGAUGCCAUGGAUUAUAGCAGGGAGGGUUCAUGGUUUCCCUUUCCCUCUAGUCUCCCUCUGCCUUUGUAAUUGCUUCUGAAAAGUCAUGAUGCUUCUUACUUUCUAUAUCAUAAACACCAAACUCAGAGGAUAAAGGGGCCCGGGGAUGUUUAGUUAGCAAAGUACUUGCAGUGUAAGCAUGAGGCCCUGAAUUCAAUUCCCAGGACGUCCCUAAAAAUGUCAGGAAUGAUGGUAGCCUGCACUUGGAAUCCCAAUGCUGAAGCGGGAGAGACAGCUGGAUCCUGUGGCUUGCUGACCCUCCAGUCUAAUGUAUUAGGUGAUCCACUGGUCCAAGUAAGAGGCAUGUCUCAAAUCUAGGUUUCUGAAGACUGAUACCUGUGGUUGACCUCUGGCUUCCACAUAAGUACAGGUACCUAUACAUACAUGUGUACUCACAUAAACAUGCAUAUGCAUGAGCAUAUACUCAACCAGUGCACUUCAAUAGUCCUAUUUAGUUCACUUAAUGCUCUACAGAGAGCAUUGUUGCUAGUGACUCAGUCCUUUUCAGGAACGCCAAGCUACUGAGUGUUCUCUGCAUCAAAUCAGCAGAACAGCAGGGCAUAUGCAUCUAUAAUCUCUUUCUUCCAUUAACAAAAAAAGAAAAGAAAAGUAGCCAACAACCCUCAGAGUCACCUUCAACUGAGCAUCAGAAUUCUUACUGUGCCCAACUGCUAAGAAUUGAAAAUGGAAGUGUGUGUGUGUGUGUGUCUAUGUGUGUGUGUCUAUGUGUGUGUGUCUGUGUGUGUGUGUGCGUGUGUGUGUCACAAUGUAUAGCUAACCUUCCCAAUGGAAAGGAAAGGAACCGAUAAAUCUUACACUGUCCCAUGUUCCAUUCACUCUUCAUUUGUAAAUUGUAUGAGACAUUCUGCGCUAAUCCAUGGCAGGCUUUCCAAGCUGCCUAAUCUUUUUUUCUUAUCACUGUUUAUGUUCCAAGAAGAUCUGGCUCUGUUUGUAUUUAUUGUGAUAAUGAUUUACUAUUCUAAACAAUUACUUUUUACCACUACUAGAAACAAUUCUGUAUAUAAGAGCCUUUUUAUUCCCUCCUCCUCUUCUUCCUCCUCCUUAAAUAAAGGAAUUCGCCUCAACUGUGGUAGACUAGCCCUGGUUUCAGAUUCUUAUUGCAGAUAAUGCCAGCGAGGAAGCAUGGAAACCAUUAUGAAGGAUCUAAACCAUAAACUCAGCUUAUCUCUAUUGAAUUCUCAUGGACCUCUGAGAAUGAAAGGAUCUGUUUGUUAAUGGCUUUUCCAAAUAAAAGCCACCCAAGGGCAUUGAUGUCAUGCAUCAGCAGCAGCACUUGAAAUGUCCAGGCCAUCAGGAAUCACUGGCAUUUCCAUGGCAAGAGAAUGCCUGUACAUUUGCUUUUGCAUAAACAUUAGUGGGUCCUAACAUCUGAAGUCAUUGUUAGCUUUGCAAUGGGUCUUCUUUAGCAACUAAUUCACAAUGUGUUAGAGGCAUUGGGCUCUCCCUAAUUGCUUCUCUCUACAUAUGGAUCAAGUUCUUACUGAAGGGGCAUUACUUUUUAAAAGACCCCUAGGGUCUCCUCGGGUCUUUAAGUCCUUGAUAGAAUGGCUUUGGUCUUCAAUACAUUGUGUAAACUCCUUCAAGUAGGGUGCAUUUCUCAUUCAUUUCUUAGAAGUUAUAUCUCUCUAACAGUGUGACUUCUCUUUUGAAAUUAUGGAAAUUAAAAUCCAGGAAAUCUAGCCAUCCACCCACAAAGGAAUAGAUAAUUAAAGAGCACACUGAAUUCUUCCACUAAUUUGGAAUCUUAAUGUUCUACCAAGAUCCCAGGCAGAUUGCAACUCUACAAUCUCAAGGUCCCCCAAAACAGUGAUAUAGACUGUGGUGGCUAUUCUUGUUUGUCAACUUGACUACAACUGGAAUUAACCAAAAUUUUCAAAUGGGAGACACCUGGUUUUGAAGUGGGAAGAUCUACUUCUAAUCUUGAUCUUUGAGGUGGGAUGACUUACCUUUAAUCUAGAUCUUUUGUGGUGGGAAGACCCACCUUUAAUCUGGGUCAUAUCUUCUGCUGGAAGCUUGCGUAAAGACAUGGAGGAAGGAAGUUUUUGCUUUUUGCCUGCUUGCUUUUACAAGUGCAUUCACUAGCAUUAGAGCCUGCUUCUUCAGGAUUCUAGCACACAUUGAGGAACAACUGAAGCAUUCAGCCUCAUGGACUGAACAACUACUGGACUCUUAGACCUUUCAUUCAUAGGCAACAUUGUUGGACUAGCUUGAGCACAACCUAGAAGCUGUUCUAAUAAAUCUCCUUUCUAUAUAUAGGGAGUUUCAUUCUAAAAGUUGUUACUCUUUGAGAACCUUGACUAAUAAAAAGACCCAGGAGCAUUAAGGGAACUAGGAGGAGAGGUCGGAAUAGGGAACAGAGGGAAAGGAGAGAAGACAAGACAGAAAGUGGCAGAGAAAGAAAGAAGGGUUUAGGUUCAGUUCUGCUCUAUUAUUCCUCUGGCUUGGGAAGUUCCUGUUACUGUCUAUCAUUUCGUCAUUUGUCAAACACAGCCGGGUCAGUGAGGAGCACGUGGCUUACUGCCUGCAGUCUUGCAUCUGGUCUGAAGGGUUCUAAAGUGUGCAUUUUCUACUGUGGCCUAGAAAAAUGCUGUAAUAUGGGUUUUCUUUUUCAAAAACCUUUCCUCUUCAUCUUACUUCUUAAUUUGAGAAUUUCCAGAGUCUCACCCUACACUUUCUGCUCCUCGAUGCCCCUGUCUUCUUCCUGGGUGGUCUCGCCCUUUUCUAGCUCCUAUUUCAAAGUUCCUUUGUCUGAUAUUAAUGCAGCCUCUCAGAGUUGCUGUUUGCAUGGUUCAUCUUCUCCCUUCUUAUUGCUUUCAACCUAGGAGAAUCUUUAUAUCUAAAGUGUGUUUUCUUUAUGCAGCAUAUAGUUAGGUUUUGUUUCAGGUUUUAAUACAGUCUGAUAAUUCCUGCCUUUUGACUAGAUCGGGUAAUUAUUCGUAAUUAAGGUUCAAUUUACUUCUGCCUCUUUGCUUUUGACUUUUCAUUCUUCAAAUGUUGUUCAUAGAUUUUUAUCUUUCUUUUGCUGCCUUCCUUUAUGAGAACUAGAUAUUUUAUAGUAUAAUGUUUUCAUGUCUUUGAUUUAAAAGAUAUGUUUUUAUUAUUUCUUUGAGAAUGUCAUACAUAAAUACAAUAUAAUUUUAAGAUCAUAUUUACCCCCACUUCUACCUCUAACUCUUCCUGAAACUAUUCUUACUCUUCAUUUGCUAUCAAUUUUAAGUCUCUCUUUUUAAAAAAAUACUAGAGAGUCCAGUAUAUGCUGCCUAUAUACUCAUAGGCACACACGUGCAUGGUUAAUACACUAGGGGCCACACCCUUAAAGAAUGUGUAUUCCUCCUUCCCCAGAAGCCACCAACUGUCAACAACUGCUCAUUGAGGGUAAGAAAUUAUGGCACUCUUUCUCUCCACGCUGAAAUGUUGACUGACUUGAUCUUGUGCUGGUCUUGUGCAGACAGCCACAGCUGCUGAGAUUUUGUGAGUGCACUGGCCUUGUCAUAUCCAGAAGACACUGCUUCCCUCUAGUCCUCCUCCACCUCUUGCCAUUACAAGCCUUCUGCUCCCACUUCCAAAAUGAUCCCGAUCUUUGGAGGAGUGGGUGUGAUACGGUGUCCCACUUAUGACAAAACACUCCCCAGAUUCUUGUUCUCUAUACUUUUAUGAUUGGAGGUUUCUAUGUUAACUGAUAUCUACUGCUUAAGGAAAUUUCUAUGGGAUGUAAUAGCUGUACUAAUCUAGGGAUAUAGAGAUGUCAGUUCACCACAGAGCCCAUUUAGAAAAAUAAUAGUAAUAAGAUCACCCACGAAGCUUGUGAGCUCCUCAACCAUGAGUUCUGGCCAGAUAUAUAAUAUCAGGCAUGUAGUUCCUCCUGUGGGGCAGUUCUUAAAUCCAAUCAGAAGGCAGUUGGUUGAUGCCAUAAUAUUUGUGCCACUACUGUGCCCAUGAACAUAGCUUGUUGCACUGCUGUUACUAGAGUAGUUCACAGCUGAGUAAGACUAUUGUUCCAGCAGCCCACAGUGCAUAGCCCCUUCCAGGACUAUGAGAUCCCAGCAGCAGGGAGAAAGCUUCAUGGUCAGUACGAACUUCAUUCCUCCAUGUCCUCCUCCAUAACAGUGUGGUUUCUUCAUCAAUAGCGUCUUAAUAUCAAGUUCUGAUAGGAAACCAAGAGCAAUGCCAAUGGCCUAGAAUGUUUGGGGACAUCACCUGGUACUUGACUUUUAAAAUACUUUUAUUAAUUCCUUGUGAAUUUCAUACAAUGUAUUUUGUAUGAAAAGAUUUAAACCUAGUAUAUAAACACUCUCUCCAUAUUUUGUAAUCUUAAUCCUUUAUAUAUUGCCAUUUACAUGUUACAAACCUCACAUGAAUUCUAGUAAUUACUUUACAUAGUGUACAUAUCGUAUAGAAUCUAGAUUCACAUAAAUUCGUAUUUGCAAAGUAUUACAUUAAUCUUCCCUUUCACCAAGUCUGAUUUGCUCCAUUUCUUUCUGAAGAUUUCAGUUGCUGUCUGGUCUCUUUACUUAACCUGAGUGCUGGGUAUCAUUUUGGUUCAUGUCCUUUAUGCUCCUGUUUUCAAAUGUAUGACAUUUCAGCAUCCUAUAAACCCAAUAGUGGGUGUAUAUAUACAUUGUUUUAUUAUGCAGUUCUUACCAGGAGUACACACUCAAUACUGUUGUCUUUACUAUGUUUUAACUUAGGUGAAAUUCAUACAAUGCUAAACUUAUUAAAGUGGAAAAUUUCAUGGCUUUUAUCUCACUCAUCACAUUGUAUAACCCUCACAUUCUGUAGUUUCUUUGGUUUGAAUUUUUUAUGGCCUCAGAGAAAUUCCACACACCCUCUUCCUCGUCCCUUUGCAAACACAGUCUUUUAAUCUCAAUGGUAUUUCUAUCUUAGAUGAUUUACUUAAAAAUUCAUGCAUUAUGUAACUUAUGUCUGUUUUUCACUAGAGUGUUUUCAAUGUUCAUCCAUAAGUACUCCAUCCCUCUUUAUGGUUAUAUAAUAUUUCACUUUGUGAACAUAACAAAAUAUGCUUAUCUGUUCACCUGUUGAUGGACACAAGCAUUGGUCUUUUUGCCUCCGAGCUAUGAUUAGUAACCGCUGUUACAAACAUUCUUGUAUAAAUUUCUAUGCAAGUAAAGGUUUUCAUUUCCACUGGAUAUAUAACUAGGGGUGAAAAUGCUGGGUUCUAUAUUCAUACAAUGUACAUGAACCAUAUCCAUCCCCCACCAUCUCCCUUCAACUCCCCCAUGUCCUUUCCAUCCCAUUUCUUUUCCAACUUCAUGUACUUUUUAAAACAUUUCUCUUUAAUUAAUAAACCCCUAAAUCUAGUCAAUGCCCGUAUGAAUGUGUAUCUAUUCACUGGGGCACAAACAACCAGCCAGGAGCCAUAUAUACAAAGAAGAGUGACUCUCCUUCCUACAGUAACUAUAGACUGCCAAUAGCUCUUCUGUUAUGGGUGGGGCCUCAGGAUCUCCUCCCCCAACCAUGCUGGAACUUGAACUGGCUUGAUUAUAUUCACAUCUUAUGCAGGCAGUGAAAGUUACUUUGACUUGAUUCAUGCAUGGUCCAUGAAUUUCAUAGCUCUCUCUAUUUUCCUCCUCCUCUUCCUCCUCCUCCUCCUUCUACGAAGAUCCUAGGGCUUUGGAUGAUUUAUGAUUGAUAUAGAUGUCGUAAGUAUUGGUAACUGAGUGCUCAGAGUUAUUUAUAAUUGGCAAUUUGACUAGUUAUGAGUCUCUGUAUUAACCAAUAUUCACUGCAAACACAAGUUUCUAUGAUCAAAAUUGAGAGCAGCUCAAGUCUUCAUAUAUUAACACAGAUAUUUCGAAGGCCGUUUCACAGCAUAAUCAUUUAACAAAACAAUAGUAUGUUCCCUCCAGGGUCUAUGAUCUUCCCGUUCAUGGGCUUUGAGCAUGUUUAUAGUACAGGGUAUGAAAUCCCUCCUACAGAACAUGCAUCAUAACCAAGAAAAAGCAGAUAGUUAACCCUUUACCCAUCAGCCACUCUUACACCAGCAGACACAUUUUGCCAGCAGGUUGAUACUGUAUGUAAUAUGAAUGGUCCAGAGCUGUGUAAGACGCUGUUGACUUUUCUCCCCUAGUAGCCUGCCCUGCACUCUGUGGAAUGAUAUACACUAGUAAGUAGGAUGCAUAUUUUCUGGCUAACUUGAAAUAGAUUUCUUUGUGUCCUAUAUCCAAGAUGAGUGGCAUCUUUAGCAAUAGGCUCUUACCAUCUAGUGUCAACUGCAGUCAGGAACAAUGCCAAGAUCCUGUAUUGUCUGGGGUGCUUCUGACUCAUAGGGAGGUAUCCUGUGCCUGCCACUAAGGUUUGCAUUAAUAAUCCAUGUACUCUGGGAGCAGCAUUGUUCACCAUGCUGAGUACUUUUGUUCAAACUCUUCCUCAACAGCUCCUGCUUCUUUUUUCAAAAUUAACACACACAGAUUAUUCUCUACGUACCAGUGACAAGCACACUGGAAAACAUAUCAGGGAAACAAUCUCAUUUAUAGUAGCCACACCAUCCAUAAAGCAAACAAAAAUAACUCAGGGGACUAAAUGUAACCCAGGAAAUGAAAUGAAAACAUUAGGGCGCUAAAGAAAGAAACUGAAGAAGACACUAGAAGGUGGCUCAUUGAUUAGAAGAAUAAGUAUUGUGGAAGUGGCCAUCCUACUAAAAACAAUCUGAAGAUUCAUCAUAAUCCCAGUCAAGAUUCUGGGGCCAUUUUUCACAAACAUAGAAAAGCAAUCUUGAAGUUUAUGUGACAGCACAAAAAACGAAGGAAAGCCAAAGCAAUCUCAAACAUAAAGAACACUGUGGGAAGAAAAAUACAAUAUUAAA